rnacentral:rRNA from 1 species
AUUAUUAGAAAUAAUACAUUGUUAGUAAAUAAUAUUUAUGAAAACAAAAAAUCAUGGCGGUAUCUUAAGCUUUUCAGAGGAAUUUGCUCUUUAAUGGAUAAAACACCCAAAUCUUACUAAAAUUGGUUAAGACAGUUUGUAUACCACUAUUUAAGUAAUUAUUAAUUAUAAUUGCUGUAAAUUUUAAACAAAAAAAAAGUUAAGUCAAGGUGCAGCAUAAAUUUUAGGAUGAAGUGAAUUACAAUGCUUUUUAGAAAAGCGAUUUAAAAAAAAAAAUUAGGAUUUGAAAGUAAAAAUUUUAAUAGAAUGAUUAUUUGAAUUAAGCUCUGAGAUAUGUAC